ncrna:unclassified sequences malK-I RNA
GAAAAGCCUGCAUAUGCUCUCCAUCUCUCAGCUGUGCGGGUGCCAAAAAGGAGGAAAUACAUACCGGUACGGCUCACGGUGCGGCAGUGUGGAGACCUGUUGUAAAGCGCGGCGCCCAUCGCGGUACCGCGUGAGAACGCAUCCGCGGAGGCGGAGCGGUCAGAGCCGGGAAAGAUGGCA